rnacentral:rRNA from 1 species
AUACGGAGGGUGCAAGCGUUACUCGGAAUCACUGGGCGUAAAGCGCGCGCAGGCGGCCAUUUAAGUUGGAUGUGAAAGCCUACGGCUCAACCGUAGAACUGCAUCCAAAACUAUUUGGCUAGAGUGUGGGAGAGGAAGAUGGAAUUAGUUGUGUAGGGGUAAAAUCCGUAGAGAUAACUAGGAAUACCAAAAGCGAAGGCAAUCUUCUGGAACAUUACUGACGCUGAGGCGCGAAAGCGUGGGGAGCAAACAGGAUUAGAAACCCUGUAGUCC